AGAGAGCAAAUUAGAAUCCAAGGAAGUUGACAUGUCAUCACUUCAUUUUUUUGCGCCUGCGCAUAAAUCUGAGAAACGUGAGUUUUGUCUUCAUUGUUUAUCUAGACAUAGGAUAGGUUGUGUGAAAAUAUUACUGAUGUUUAACGUUAAAAAUGGACCAAAAGAUUAAUGCUAAACAACAUUUGACAUGUUUGAACGAACAUAAAUAGAUUAUUUACUAGGUUUUUUUAGCUUUUCGGCGUGAUUUUACAGUCCCCCCACCACGUUUUGUGGGAGCAUAAUGAACGCUAAGUACUUGGUGUUAUUUGGACAUAAAUUAUGAACUUUGUCAAAAGAAACCACAUUUGUUCCGGACCUGGGAUGCCUUCCGGACCUGGGAUGCCUGCCUUCUGAUGGAGAUAAUCAAAGAUCUAUCCAUUACCUUCGACACCGUGAACCAUCAGAUCCUCCUUUACACCCUCUCAGGGCUGGGCAUCUGAGGCUCUGCACACUCUUGGAUUGCAUCCUACCUGGCAGACGGCUCCUACCAGGUGACGUGGCGAGGAUCUGUGUCUGCACCACGUACUCUCACUACUGGUGUCCCCCAAGGCUCAGUUCUAGGCCCUCUUCUCUCUACACACCAAGUCAUUCGGCUCCAUCAUAUCCUCACAUGUUCUCUCCUAACAUUGCUAUGCGGAUGACACUCAACUCAACCUCGACAAGACGGAGCUGCUCUUCCUCCAGGGAAAGCCUGCCCGCUCCAAAACCCUACACCCUAACCCGAGUACUCCGUUCUGCCACCUCAGGUCUCUUGGCUCUCCCACCCCAAGCUUUUCUCUGUCCUGGUACUCCAAUGGUGGAACCAGCUUCCCCCUGAAGCUAGGACAGCAGAGUCGCUGCCCAUCUUCCGAAAGCACCUGAAAAUCCUUACCUUUUCAAAGAGUAUAUUAAAUAUACCCCCCCCCCCCCACACCCCAAAACAAAUUCCUGAACCAACACUUGCACUUGAUUUAAUCCCCCUCCUCGCUUUGUAGUGAUGACUUUGCUGAUAGCUACUUUAUUACGGAAAAGUAUACUUACUAUGCCUGUGAUAUCUGGUUGUCCCACCUAGCUAUCUUAAAAUGAAUGCACUAUCUAGAUAAGAGUGUCUACUAAAUGACUAAAAUAUAAUAUAAAAUGGGUGUGAAUACUUAUGUAAAUGAGAUAUUUCUGUAUUUCAUUUUCAAUAAAUUAGCAUGUUUUCACUUUGUCAGGGUAUUGUGUCAAGAUGAGUGAGAUUUAAAAAAAAAAUGAUUCAGGCUGUAACACAACAAAAUGUGGAAUAACUCAAGGGGUAUGAAUACUUUCUGAAAGCACUGUAUAUAUUAAUGUGGAUGAUUCAUUUUGAGCCCAGGAAUAGGUCAACUGGGCUAAACUGCAUUGUGAAUAAUUUAAGAUUCUAUUAACAUUUAAAGUUGACAUUGAUUUGACACAGUCAGGCCUCAGUGAUAUGAUAAGGUGCAGGGAGGGAACAGAAAGCUGUGCUAUGAUAAUUGCCCAGAUGGCUUUUGUUUGUUUAAUGUCAUCUUUCUCAGGUCUGUUAUUGUACUCGUCAAGAGUGGAUAUCGGAUAAGUGUUCUUGGUCUGCAAGCUAUUGAGGUUCACAUUUAAGCAACUAGCGUUGCUUAGUGACAGGUGAGUAAAUGCACUGUGUUAGCUACAGUAAUCAUCCAAAGAAGGAUUUUCUAUCUUUGUUCUAUUUCUCCUUGUCCUCUGAAACCCUCUGUGGAGCUGGCCGAGGAAUAACAUUUUAAAAUGUGAAUGAAGGAAUGACACUAAGCUGAACAAAGUAGUUCCCCCAGUGUGUGUGCAUGCGUGCGUGUGAGCGUGCUUCUGCAUGCGUACUGUGUGUGUGUGUGUGUGUGUGUGUGUGUGUGUGUGUGUGUGUGUGUGUGUGUGUGUGUGUGUGUGUGUGUGUGUGUGACAGGAGAUCACAGAUCAAUAGCCCCGGGCCAUCUCCUCCUGACCAUCAUGACCUGGGAGAUAAGGAGCACAGGCCAUGUGACCUCCUUGCCUUUAAAGAUCUGUUUACACAAAGACAAACACUAGAACAAGACCUUUGAAUAAGACGCCUGCCAUUUGCAUUCGGGUCAUCUGAAUUUAAAGUUUACAUUUACUGGACAGCUUGCGUAUUCUUCCUUUUAAACUAUACAAUGAAAUGACCAAGCCUUUGUAGUUGGAUGAAUAUAUAGAAAAGCUAAAUGUCUUCCAUAUAAUUUGUAAGCAUAUUUGGCAUAUUUCAGUGAAUAGGAAAAGUAAACUUAAAUAGCAUCCAAGCCAUUGUAAGUACAAUUACAAAUUUGACAAAAGCUUCUUGGAUUAAGGACAACCAUUUCACUUAUUGUUGGACCUUCACCUUGGAAUGUAAUAAAAUGCAACUCUGCAAAACAGCAGGGAGUCUAGCAGGAGGAGACUUAUUGUAAUGCCCUCUGAGGUCUAAUACCAGGUGGCAUUCUGCUUCUUCAGCGCUGUGCCGGAGGACACAGGCUCAGGUAGCAGGUUAUACCUUAGAGCCGGCAUCCUGCUGUCUGGUUUACCCAGGUGAAAGAAAAAGGGAAACAUUGUUGAGGAACAAACAGGAAUAUGUAACUACUUAUUAUAACUAGAACACACUGUGUUCAUGAAAUGACUGCAUGAAUAAAUAAAGAGAAUAGCAUUGUUUUAUCAAAUGUCUUGCUGCCCCAUUGUCUGCAGAAACAAGGCUAAUGCUACUUGAUCCAGGAUGGAUCUCUCACAAAAGAUAAACUUCAGUCUGCAAUCUCAGGUUCUAGCUACAUCUGGGGCUGGAUAACAGAAACUGCAACAUGACAAAAUGUGUAGAAUGGCAUUAUAAAACAGAAUAUUUUUCUCUCUGCUCCAUGGCAAAAUGUGUUGAAAUGCAGUAAAUUCCUUUUUUUUUUCAUCCAAAAAUAAAUCCAUGGUGCCCCAAAUGCGGUAGUCUGUCCUUGGCUACAUCAUUCCUUUUAUUCCAUUAAACACUCAAGCCACUUUCUUCACUCAGCAGCAGUGUGCACUAAUGACACAAUCCAAGGCAGAAUCACUGCAUAAAUACCACUAACCACCAUCCAUACUUCUCCUCCAUCUACAUGCUAAUUACUUUGCUAGCCUGAGAUCUCUGCCAUCUAUUCCUCUGACAAGUUUUAAUAAGCACCUCCAUGCACUCAGAUGUCAUUAGUACGGGACCGUCUACUGCUGCUAAUCAUUCAGUGUCUGCUUGGAGUGGUAAAAAGGAAACACUAAACUUUUAUUUGGAUCCUUGAGAAUAGGACAUGUAUGUCUGGUAUAAAACUUGUAUUGAAUGUAAAGUACAAGGUAAAAUACUAAUGUUAUGUUGGACAUGGCAUUAAGCCUGUCUCAAAUUUCUGCAGAUCAGCUGACGAUACAAGAACAAUCAAGGCAUCAAUAUAAAAAGGUAAAUCAUGUGGAUUGAUGCAGAUGGUUCUAAUGCCUGCUCUUAUCACAUUUGAUUAGGGAAGGUAAUCGGUGUGCAUGCAUGUGAGAUCUUCUCUCUCCCUGAAGAUCUGAGGGGCUAGACAAUCCUCAUUAUGCAGACUCACAUGCUGUUUGAGGCGGGCCGAGCGGCAUGGCAGAAAUACCUUUACCCCUCUUAAAGCUGGUCCCCAGUGGGACUCAACAGCUGUCAUUUACCAUCGGCUCCAUCCCUCUGUAAUCCUGUAUAGCUCUGACUCCAGCUGACCGCAGCCUGCCACCAGCGCUCCCCUGGGAUCCCGCACUACACCGAGAGCCAAUCAGCAUCUGAUUAGAGGAAGCAGCCCAUGGAGAGGAGAGGUGUCCAUCUACCAUUACCCGAAGACAAUCAAACACACACACACACACACACACACACACACACACACACACACACACACACACACACACACACACACACACACACACACACACACACACACACACACACACACACACACACACACACACACACGGAC
rnacentral:lncRNA from 1 species